rnacentral:rRNA from 1 species
UACGGAGGGGGCUAGCGUUGUUCGGAAUUACUGGGCGUAAAGCGCGCGUAGGCGGACCUGCAAGUCGGGGGUGAAAUCCUGGGGCUCAACCUCAGAAUUGCCUCCGAUACUGGCAGUCUCGAGUGCGGGAGAGGUGAGUGGAAUUCCCAGUGUAGAGGUGAAAUUCGUAGAUAUUGGGAAGAACACCAGUGGCGAAGGCGGCUCACUGGCCCGUAACUGACGCUGAGGUGCGAAAGCGUGGGGAGCAAACAGG